GCUUUGGUGGCCUAAGUGGUUAGAGUAUCUGCAUUGGAUGCAGGAGGUUGCUGGUUCAAACCCUGGCCGAGUGAUACCAAGACU